rnacentral:rRNA from 1 species
CAGUCGCCACGGUAAUACGAAGGGUGCAAGCGUUAAUCGGAAUUACUGGGCGUAAAGCGUGAGCAGGCGGUUGUGUAAGACAGGUGUGAAAUCCCCGGGCUUAACCUGGGAACUGCGCUUGUGACUGCACAGCUAGAGUAUGGCAGAGGGGGGUGGAAUUCCACGUGUAGCAGUGAAAUGCGUAGAGAUGUGGAGGAACACCGAUGGCGAAGGCAGCCCCCUGGGCCAAUACUGACGCUCAUGCACGAAAGCGUGGGGAGCAAACAGGAUUAGAUACCCAGGUAGUCCCUGUCUCUUAUAC